UAACAUGUCAUCUCAAGCUUCUCUCCCAGGAUGGCAGGGAACACAUGCCUCCCCAUCCUUAGCAGGAAACAGCCACAAGCAAGAAACUGCUUCAAACAAUUCUAUUCUUUGCCCAGAAGAUUCUCCCCAUCUCUUAGAGCUCUUUAAGAGUUCAAUAGUACAUCCUUGAGGUCUUAGUUUAAACCAUAUAGGUGGGAGGAAGGAAAGCACUCUAUCCUAGAUUCUAAGCUCCACGGGCAUGGGCUGCAUAUGGAGCAGUCUCGCACGCCAGAGCCUAGCGCGAUGUCUGGGAAACAACGGUCGCUUAUUGAGCUUGUGGUUGGUGUUUUAAAUGAUCUCACUACGCCCAUAGGUGGGUACUGUUACUAUUUCCAUUGUGAAGAGGAGGAAAUUGAGAGACUGUGAAGUUUAUCCCAAAAGCCAUUGGCCACUCUGGGAUUAAUUCUCAGGCCUGUCUGAUUCUUGGCACUCACUACGUAGUGAUCAAUAAAUACCGUUGGAAAUACAA